rnacentral:rRNA from 1 species
AACGCGAAGAACCUUACCCAGGUUUGACAUGCAGUAGACAGGGCCAGAAAUGGCUUCUUCCUUCGGGACUGCUGCACAGGUGCUGCAUGGCUGUCGUCAGCUCGUGCCGUGAGGUGUUGGGUUAAGUCCCGCAACGAGCGCAACCCUUAUCACUAGUUGCCAGCACGUAAUGGUGGGAACUCUAGUGAGACUGCCCGGGUUAACCGGGAGGAAGGUGAGGAUGACGUCAAGUCCGCAUGGCCCUUAUGUCUGGGGCUACACACGUGCUACAAUGGCCGGUACAAUAGGCAGCCAAACCGCGAGGUGGAGCAAAUCCCUAAAACCGGUCCCAGUUCGGAUUGUAGUCUGCAACUCGACUACAUGAAGUUGGAAUUGCUAGUAAUGGCGAGUCAGCUACAUCGCCGUGAAUACGUUCCCGGGCCUUGUACACACCGAGUAUA